UGGUCAUAUACCAAGGCUUUCAGGACUUCUGGUUUCUGACUUGCUGUGGACUUGACCAUAAAACAAAACUUAUCCCAGUGGACUUCUGCAGCAGUUUGCUGGGAAGAUCUGCUGGGAACAUGU
rnacentral:snoRNA from 1 species